CGCAGCCGCGGUAAUUCCAGCUCCAAUAGCGUAUAUUAAAGUUGUUGCAGUUAAAAAGCUCGUAGUUGAAUUUCGGGAUCAGUACGCUGGUCAUGCCUUUGGUAUGCACUGGUGUCACUGGUUUCUCCCUUCUGAAGAUCUGUGAUGUCAUUAAUUUGGUGUCGCGGGGAAUCAGGACUGUUACUUUGAAAAAAUUAGAGUGUUUAAAGCAGGCUCACGCUUGAAUACAUUAGCAUGGAAUAAUGAAAUAGGACGUUUGACCCUAUUUUGUUGGUUUCUAGGAUCGACGUAAUGAUUAAUAGGGAUAGUUGGGGGCAUUAGUAUUCAAUUGUCAGAGGUGAAAUUCUUGGAUUUAUUGAAGACUAACUACUGCGAAAGCAUUUGCCAAGGUAUGUUUUCAUUAAUCAAGAACGAAAGUUAGGGGAUCGAAGACGAUCAGAUACCGUCGUAGUCUUAACCAUAAACUAUGCCGACUAGGGAUCGGAUGAUGUUAAUUUUAUAAUGACU
rnacentral:rRNA from 1 species